rnacentral:rRNA from 1 species
UACGUAGGGUGCGAGCGUUGUCCGGAAUUAUUGGGCGUAAAGAGCUUGUAGGCGGUUUGUCGCGUCUGCUGUGAAAAUCCGGGACUCAACCCCGGACCUGCAGUGGGUACGGGCAGACUAGAGUGUGGUAGGGGAGACUGGAAUUCCUGGUGUAGCGGUGAAAUGCGCAGAUAUCAGGAGGAACACCGGUGGCGAAGGCGGGGUCUCUGGGGCAAACAACUGACGCUGGAGGGAGCGAAA